CGCACGCUCCUCCUCCGCACCACCGUCGCGCAAUUCCUACGGAUCGCAUUCCGCAAUAAGCGCCACCCCAAUCCAAAACCUCGCCCCCCUCCACCCCACACCCGCCGCUGCUCCACGCCUCCACCACCGGUGCCCCCAUCGCCGCCAUCACCUCGCGCCGCGCCCCAUCCUUAUCGUCAUGACACGCCUCCACCGCCGGCGCUUCCAUCGCCGUUGUCUCCUUCCCGUCACACCCUCCUCGCCGCGACAUGUCUCCACCACCGGCGCCCCCAUCGUCGUCGUCUCCUCCCCGACUCCCGGUCUCCAACUCUCCAUCACGUCGGCGCGCCCUCGACUGAUCCCCGCCGCCGGAAUCCCUGCCUCGGCACGCAAUCGACCGAUCCCCGCGGCGCCCUCAACCGAUUCCCGCCGCCGGAAGCCCUCCCAUCGCGCCUCACGGUCUCCAUCACGCCGGCUCGCCCUCGACAGAUCCUAGCCGCCGCCCGCUGCCCCUCCCCGGAAUUGAAUGGCACAGAACAAAAACACGAGCCCUCUGCGGCGAUGGAUUGGGAGCAGGUAGUGCCGUAGUGGCAAGGCUGGCGGCGUUGGUGCCCGGCGACAGCCACGGUAGACGGAACGCUACUUGAUCUGACAAGAGUGGCGUGACCAGGCCAUCGCCGCCGCUUAUGCAUGCCACCCCGCCUCCUGUCACCCCUACUGUGAACCUGCGAUCAAGCCUCCGCCGGCGGGCACCCAAGGCUGUCGCCUACAGUGCGACUUCGCCAUCCCUGCCUGCGCAUGCCCUAAGCCGCUGCUUACAGCGCGACUUCACUGCCGCCGCCUGCACGAGCCCCGCCGACGCCCGACCUGCAAUACAACCUCCGUUCCCAAGGCCAGGAGCAGGGGGCAGCACCGAAGGUAGACGGCACCAUCAGCUACCCUGUUAGAGGCUAGAGUAUUCUGUGCCAACGUCCUGUCAUCCUUCUUGCGUGCCCUUGACAAGCAGGGCAGAAGAUUCAACAUCUGAACCCCAAAAGGAGUCCACGUUUCUGUUCAUGAUGCCAACGCCGCCUCCCAUCCCUGCCAUAUGAGAUCAAUCUACCUGCAAGCUAUUUCUUUCCUUUUAGGAAGAAGUAAUGUGGCUACUCUCUCGGCUCUCGGAGAUCUUCUGCCUAGCAACAUAUGCGUUGAAAAAAGGAUGGUGAUCAGGAAAGAGGCAUUUUUUUCUAACUGAAAGCGCUUCGCUUCGACCAAUAUUGUUACUAAACAUGCUAGAGUUCAAGCUCCAGGAGAAGGUCACAUUUAGGCAAGUUCUACAGUCUUUCAGGUUGUGUGCAAUGGUCAAUGAUGUGCAAAUUGCAAUGCUGCAGAAUGAGAGCUGAGCCACACAGUCCAUGUGCCAUGCUUUUCUUAUCCACUUUAGUUUCAUGCAACCAUGCUGUUUCCAACCCCUGCUGAAAUGCUGAACAUAAGGAUGAAUAAUCUAAUUUUAUGAGGAAAAACAUCUCUGGAAGUGCCUGCUUUGAUACCUGAUACAAGAUGUACUAGGGAGUUACAGAACAGGUAGGAAUUGUAAGAAUGUCAUGUGCAUACUAGGGAGUUACUGUUGCAAAAUUAAUUGAGGUUAACUAUUGACUUAUUAUCAAGCAUACAUGCAUUAAAAACAUAAUCAAGCAUAUAUGCAUUAAAAACAUAUUAUCUUUCUCUUCCAUGGACCAUGGUGUAUGGUACUAUGGUUCCAAGGUUUAACAGGUUACCAAUAUGUGUUCUUUGCCACUGCUGGAUAUCAGGAUCAAAUUAAGUAGGUAUUUAUUCUACUAUAUGGUGGUGGAGGGUAAUUCUUCUAGGUCAACGGGUACUUUUCUCAUUUUCUGAAAACAACACGAUGAUCAUAUUUAGUGAUAA